CCUUGUUCAACUCUCCAUAAACAAACCAACUGAAAGCCUUACUGUGAUCGGUGUCUCACAGUAGCCAUGUCCAUUUUAGUUCAAACAAAGUAAAAUUCCCCCUAGCCAGAGAAACACUAGAAGCCCAGCUAUCCCACUCCCUCAGGGGCCCUCUGCUUCCCUUUUAUGACUUCCCCCACUUAGGCAGCACAGCUGUCAGUUCCACCUCCCAGCAGUUUAACAAGCCACAACUGCCAGGUUUUGCAGCUUAUAUAGUCUUUAAGGGCUAACCUCUUCCUUCUUCUGAAGCAAAGGGUUUUAACCCUUUCUAGGUUAACAGUGACUACAGUUCAGCUGAAAACACCAGAUACCAAGAACCUGAGCACUGACAACACCAACUGAAUCCUGAAGCUGCAGUGGUACAGCACUUGUGAGAAGCAGGUCUCUCAUGCGUGGUAUCUAAAUAAAGUAAUGUUUUAAAAAAAUCUGGCCUUACCUGCAUUUAAAGAAUUUACAUGGCUAGCAUUUCACCACACAUCGGCUUGCUCCAGACCGUGUCCGUUCAUGUUCUGAAUUCUCCAAGGAAGGAAAUCCUGUGACUUUUCCAGCAUUUUGCCACCUCCACAUUUUUUUGUAUAUGUUCACUGAAAAUUCUCCAUGCUCCAGCUUGUGUCUGUUGAUACUUGCCUUAUCACUGGACACCUUUAAGAAGAGCCUGAUUCUGUCUUCUGUGCGCUCUUCCAUUAGGUAUCUGGAGGCAGCAGUAAGCCCUCCUCGUUGCCUUCACUUCUUACUGCGGAACAAAACCAGGUCUCCCAGGCUGUUCUCACGUAGGAUGUGGUCCAGCCCCAAAGCUAUCCUGGUGGUCCUCCACGGGGCUUGCUCCAGUAUAGCAAUGCCUUUCUUGGCCUGGAUACACCAAAACUGGACUCAGCACUCCAGAUCCGAGAUCCCACUUGCCUUUGCUGGACUUUAGGAGGUUUCUGUCAGACCACAUCCCCAGUCUGUCCAGGUGCCUGUGCACAGCAGCCCUGUUCUCCUAGCAUAACAGCUGCUCCCUCCAAUGACAUAUUGUCUACAAACUUGCUGAGAGAGCACUCCAUCCCAUCAUCCAGGUCAUGAAUAAAGAUAUUAAACAGUAUUAUCUCCGCUAUGAAUCCUUGAGGGAUUCCACUUGUACAACCGGUCGCCAGUUCUGCUUCAUAUUGUUGAUUACCACCCUUUGAGCCCAGUGGCUCAGCUGAUUUUCUGCCCAUGUUAUCAUCCACUUACACAGUCCAUACCUCACUAAUUUGGCUCUAAGGAGAUAAUGGGAGACUGUAUCAAAGGCCUUGCUGGAAUCAAAGCAUACAACAGUUAGUGUUCCUCCCUCCAUGACAGAGCAAGUCGUCUCAUCACAGAAGGCAAUCAGGUUGCUCAGGCAUAAUUUGCCCUUGAUAAUUCUGUGCUGGCUAUUCCCAAUCACCUUCUUAUCCUUCUUGUGCUUGGAAAUGGCUUAGAGGAGAAUUCAGUCCAUAACCCUCCCAGGGAGUGCAGUUAAGCUGUCUGGUCUGUAUUUCCCCAGAUUCUCCUUUUUGUCCGUCUUCAAGAUGGACAUGAGUUUGCAUCGUUUCUUCUUUAUGGCUCAGUUGUAAUAUAUUAUUAUUUCAAUCAAUAUGUAAUUGACAGUGAGACCCAAAUAUGCUAUUAGAAGGUUAUAGUCUAUCACAUCUCUCCUUUUAAGGAUAUUUUAUAUUUCUAAUGUAAAUAACUUGCAAUAUUUAGGUUUUCAGUAAAUUAUAUGUUUCUGCUAAAGAAGUUUUUAUCCUAGACAAAACCAAUCUCACCUCGAGUUCUUUUGAUUUACAUAACAAAUACAUGUUUUCCAAGAAAUAUUCUAUAAAAAAAUGGAAAUGAGAAAAAUUCAUUUCCUUAAACCUAUUUUAAAUACUGAAUAACUUUCUUGAUGUUAACAGAUACGUAAAGUUUUUAUUUUAUAUAAAAUAAAUGCAAAUAAUCA